CCUGCUUCAGCCAGUAUGGUGAUGGAAUGAGAUUACUCCCUAAUUAGUGCCCACAGCCUCCAGCCUGAUGGUGACAGGAGGAGAUCUAUUUAACAGUUACUUGUGAAAUCAGAAUGGCUGGAGGAACUGCUGUGGGAUCAAGAAUAUAUGAGGAUUUGUGAGGUGGAUUGUG